rnacentral:tRNA from 1 species
CGCGGGGUGGAGCAGCCUGGUAGCUCGUCGGGCYCAUAACCCKWAGGUCGUCGGUUCAAAUCCGGCCCCCGCAACCA